AUUGAACGCUGGCGGCAUGCUUUACACAUGCAAGUCGAACGGUAACAGGCCGCAAGGUGCUGACGAGUGGCGAACGGGUGAGUAAUGCAUCGGAACGUGCCCAGUCGUGGGGGAUAACGCAGCGAAAGCUGUGCUAAUACCGCAUACGAUCUAUGGAUGAAAGCGGGGGACCGGAAGGCCUCUCGCGAUUGCAGCGGCCGAUGUCAGAUUAGGUAGUGGGGGGGGUAAAGGCUCCCCAAGCUAACGAUCUGUAGCUGGUCUGAGAGGACGACCAGCCACACUGGAACUGAGACACGGUCCAGACUCGUACGGGAGGCAGCAGUGGGGAAUUUUGGACAAUGGGCGCAAGCCUGAUCCAGCAAUGCCGCGUGCAGGAAGAAGGCCUUCGGGUUGUAAACUGCUUUUGUACGGAACGAAACGGCGAGCUCUAAUACAGUUUGCUAAUGACGGUACCGUAAGAAUAAGCACCGGCUAACUACGUGCCAGCAGCCGCCGUAACAC
rnacentral:rRNA from 1 species